rnacentral:rRNA from 1 species
CCAGACUCCUACGGGAGGCAGCAGUAGGGAAUCUUCGGCAAUGGACGGAAGUCUGACCGAGCAACGCCGCGUGAGUGAAGAAGGUUUUCGGAUCGUAAAGCUCUGUUGUAAGAGAAGAACGAGUGUGAGAGUGGAAAGUUCACACUGUGACGGUAUCUUACCAGAAAGGGACGGCUAACUACGUGCCAGCAGCCGCGGUAAUACGUAGGUCCCGAGCGUUGUCCGGAUUUAUUGGGCGUAAAGCGGGCGCAGGCGGUUAGAUAAGUCUGAAGUUAAAGGCUGUGGCUUAACCAUAGUACGCUUUGGAAACUGUUUAACUUGAGUGCAAGAGGGGAGAGUGGAAUUCCAUGUGUAGCGGUGAAAUGCGUAGAUAUAUGGAGGAACACCGGUGGCGAAAGCGGCUCUCUGGCUUGUAACUGACGCUGAGGCUCGAAAGCGUGGGGAGCAAACAGGAUUAGAUACCCUGGUAGUCCACGCCGUAAACGAUGAGUGCUAGGUGUUAGACCCUUUCCGGGGUUUAGUGCCGUAGCUAACGCAUUAAGCACUCCGCCUGGGGAGUACGACCGCAAGGUUGAAACUCAAAGGAAUUGACGGGGGCCCGCACAAG